UACAGGGGGUGCAAACGUUUGCUCGGAAUUAUUGGGCGUAAAGCGCGCGUAGGCGGCUACUUAAGUCGGAUGUGAAAGCCCUUGGCUCAACUGAGGAAGUGCACCCGAAACUGAGUGGCUAGAGUACGAAAGAGGGUCGCGGAAUUCCCGGUGUAGAGGUGAAAUUCGUAGAUAUCGGGAGGAACACCGGUGGCGAAGGCGGCGACCUGGGUCGAUACUGACGCUGAUGCGCGAAAGCG
rnacentral:rRNA from 1 species